rnacentral:rRNA from 1 species
GAUGAACGCUGGCGGCGUGCCUAAUACAUGCAAGUCUAGCGAAUGGAUUAAGAGCUUGCUCUUAUGAAGUUAGCGGCGGACGGGUGAGUAACACGUGGGUAACCUGCCCAUAAGACUGGGAUAACUCCGGGAAACCGGGGCUAAUUCCGGAUAACAUUUUGAACCGCAUGGUUCGAAAUUGAAAGGCGGCUUCGGCUGUCACUUAUGGGUGGACCCGCGUCGCAUUAGCUAGUUGGUGAGGUAACGGCUCACCAAGGCAACGAUGCGUAGCCGACCUGAGAGGGUGAUCGGCCACACUGGGACUGAGACACGGCCCAGACUCCUACGGGAGGCAGCAGUAGGGAAUCUUCCGCAAUGGACGAAAGUCUGACGGAGCAACGCCGCGUGAGUGAUGAAGGCUUUCGGGUCGUAAAACUCUGUUGUUAGGGAAGAACAAGUGCUAGUUGAAUAAGCUGGCACCUUGACGGUACCUAACCAGAAAGCCACGGCUAACUACGUGCCAGCCGCCGCCGUAC